GUUCAUGUUUGGCAUGUUUUUGUGGACACUUCUCAGUCAUAUGUCCAAAAUGGUAACAAUCUUGGCAUGUAAGCAUCCAUUCAUACUCCACAUUUUGCUCCAAAUUUUCCUUCAUACCAUAAUUACAGGAAGAACAUCUGGUAGAGGUUGAGUGAUAUCAACCUCGAUGAGGACUCUAGCAUAGGAAACUCUGUCAACAUGAGCUGUAAGCUUAUCAGUCGCAGUGGCUUCCCAAUAUAACUCACCAAUCGUCCUAAGUUUUCCUUAGCCCAGAACUGUACUGGUAGUCCUGGAAACAUCACCCAUAUAGGAACCACUCUCAUAGACUCAUUCUUAAUACUAAAAUAUCGGUUCCACUGUGUACCAGUGGUCUGUUAUUGAAUAUAUAAGGGCCAUUUUAGAGUAUUAAGUUUUUAUCAUCUACGGAAUCAAAUAUAAAGAUGAGAUAAUCAUCAUCAUAUAACACUAGCUUUGGCGUAGUCACUGAGUUCCAUACUCCAUAUGCAAACUUGAGCAUCUCCUUAAAUGUUGGAUUUCCCCCAAUUACAUAUCCAAUUAGGGCAUUUUUCCAUUGUUGACAUUGCUGCUCCACUUCCUUUAGGUUCAAUUCAACCAGCUUUACUCCAUCUUUAAUCACCAGCGGAUAGAAUUUCAAUUGCAUGCCUUGCUCUUUCAUUCGAUUCCUUUGACUAUCUCUGCCACAGAUCUAGCUUGAUCCCCUGAGUUAGUCAGUUUACCCGUUGCAUUUGUAAUUUCUAAUUCCGGUGGAAUUGAGUCUUCUAGUGAAAUUGUGGUAACACUUGUCACCGGUGGUAGGAUUCAUUCAUUGUCGUCGUUUGCAUGAUUAUCAGCGCACUUCCCAUCCCCGACAUCCAAUUGAUAAGUUGUCGAGGACCUAAUUGUUGUUCAAUUCUCGAUUUUGGUGUAAUCAAUUACUAGUCGACUCUUCAAUUUGUUCUGUGGUGCUUUUCAUCAUCGAAGAUCGUCGUUGCUGGGUGUUUAUGGUUGUGGGCAUACGUUAGUGAUCCUGCUUAACGUGCGCCUUUAGAGAGAAAAGGCAUAUGUUUGAGAAAUUUUGCUAUUAGCUCAAUAGUGAAAUUACAAAUGCUAUACGUGUAUUUUCAAAUGUUAAAGAGAUUACAUGCCACAAAAUUGAAAUGG
rnacentral:lncRNA from 1 species